AACAUAUAGUAAGCAUUAUCAAACACUUCCCAAACAUGAAGGCCAUUUUCAUUGCUUUCUUACUAUUUGCUUCUCUUUUCUUCCUUCCUACUUCAACUAUGGCUCGAGAACUCAAGGAAGGGACGUUUCAGACAGGAGACCCUAAUAAUCCUGCUGUUAAUUGUACUCCGGGUCAGAGUUAUAGAAAUUGCAUUCCAUCCUCGACACCACCAACGCCACCAACAUCAUCAGAAGCACCACCGCCACCACCAUGCUCCGAUUAUAGACGUAAUUGUUGAUCAAUAUCUAAUGAAUGAAGUAUACUUUCACUUAUUAUACUGUUGCCAUUUAACACUUGCUGUGUUAAACCAUGGAGCUACCAUCUUUCUGUUUUGCAUUAGAAUUUCCAGUGUUUUGUCUGAAUAAUUGUGUGUUUUUCGAGUUUGUUGUAAAAUAAAAAUUUGGCCUCUAGGCCAAUCCAAUAAAUAAGAAUAUGGUUCGGUAUA